UACAGAGGUCUCAAGCGUUGUUCGGAUUCAUUGGGCGUAAAGGGUGCGUAGGCGGCGAGGUUAGUCAGGUGUGAAAUCCCGGAGCUUAACUCCGGAACUGCACUUGAUACUGCCUUGCUUGAGGACUGGAGAGGAGAUCGGAAUUCACGGUGUAGCAGUGAAAUGCGUAGAUAUCGUGAGGAAGGCCAGUGGCGAAGGCGGAUCUCUGGACAGUUCCUGACGCUGAGGCACGAAGGCCAGGGGAGCAAACGGU
rnacentral:rRNA from 1 species